rnacentral:lncRNA from 1 species
GUGCCUUGAAUUGACUCCUAUAGCACACAGGAAGCCAAUGGAAGGACUGGCAGAGGGGUGAGGUGUGAGAGAACCGGCUAGAGAGGAAAAUCAGUCUAGCAGCAGCGUUCAUUACAGACUGUAGGGGUGCAGUACGGCUUUUGGGAAGACCAAGCAGGAGAGGGUUACAAUAAUCCAUGCGGGAAAUUACUAGAGCAUGGACAAGCUCCUUGGUGGUAUCUGGUGCAAGAAAGGGGCGGAUGUGGGCUAUGUUUUUAAGAUGGAAUCUACAGGAUUUGGCAACAUGCUGGAUGUGAGGCUCAAAGGUGAGACCAGA